rnacentral:rRNA from 1 species
CCUACGGGGGGCUGCAGUGGGGAAUAUUGGACAAUGGGCGAAAGCCUGAUCCGGCCAUGCCGCGUGUGUGAAGAAGGCCUUCGGGUUGUAAAGCACUUUCAGUGGGGAAGAAAGCCUUGGGGCUAAUACCCUCGAGGAAGGACAUCACCCACAGAAGAAGCACCGGCUAACUCCGUGCCAGCAGCCGCGGUAAUACGGAGGGUGCGAGCGUUAAUCGGAAUUACUGGGCGUAAAGCGCGCGUAGGCGGUCUGAUAAGCCGGUUGUGAAAGCCCCGGGCUCAACCUGGGAACGGCAUCCGGAACUGUCAGGCUAGAGUGCAGGAGAGGAAGGUAGAAUUCCCGGUGUAGCGGUGAAAUGCGUAGAGAUCGGGAGGAAUACCAGUGGCGAAGGCGGCCUUCUGGACUGACACUGACGCUGAGGUGCGAAAGCGUGGGUAGCAAACAGGAUUAGAUACCCGGGUAGUC